UUAUAUCCAUAGUUCGAUGGAUCCCAACUAACAACAUCCUUAUUUUCCGUAUUACAUUUUCCACUCGUGUCCUUUCCAAUUAAGUGUAUAAAUUCCAUGAUUCUCAGGGAUUGGUCAUUGCGAUAGUGUCUUUAGUAUUGUUGUGAUAAUUGUGGUUUCUAGAUGGCUAUAUAUUCCAAAUAUAGAAGGGAAAGGCAAGACUCCAGUCUUACUUCUUGUUUAUCAUUUCUUUUUUUAAUAUUACGACAAUCAUUACUUCACAACAGUACAAUUAUUUCUUCAGGUUCACCAACUGUUUGAAGAAAUGCCUGAACGAUGGUUUCACUCAUUUUGAUACAGACCCAUUUGAGUUUUUCACCUAUUCCCACUCUAAUCGUCAUAAAUUCCCAAAAAAGACUUCAUUGCAGAAGAAAAGCUGCCAUGUUUAAUCUUGUAUUGGGAAAAAAUAUGGGAUCUUUUCAGGUUUUUAAGAAGCUUAGCAAGAAAAGAGUUGGGGAUAGUGCAUAUUGCUUGUGUAGGAAAGGGUUGGGAAGUGAAGGGGAUAUGGAGCUGGAAGAGGAGAUUUUGGCUUUCAUGGAGAUAUCUGAGAACCCAAGUGUUUUUCCAACAAGGAAAGAAUUGGAAAAAGCUGGAAGAGUGGAUUUGGUGGAAGCUAUAAAGAACAGAGGAGGAUGGUUUUCGUUUGGUUGGGACUCUGAGGAUGAUGACACUAACACUGUGAAUGUUAAUGAGGUUGAGACUGUGGAAAAGGAUUUUGACAUUGAGGAGUUCCAUGAUAGAGUCAAGAGUUGUCAAGAGAGUGAUUUAUUACAUGAGAAUGAAGCUCAUUUUACUGGUUCUGGAGAUUCUAGUUCUUCUCAGCCCGCUUCGUCCUCUGGUAGAUUGAUAGAAACUGUAGCAGAGGAAGAUAGCGGGAUUGAAGGGAUAUUGAAUCGACUAGAAAAAGAGAGGAACUCAUCUCUUGGUAUUGAUCUGGGAAAGCGUGGACAUACUUUUCAUACAUCAAGUAGGGACAACAUAGAUGAUAGAAGCUUUGGAACCACUGAUGCAGACAGGACUGACCUAGGGAAAAAUGAUAGCCUGAGUAAAGGUAGCCCCAUGAAAGACAUUCGAAGUGACGAGGAGCUUAACCACAGCGUUUCCCCAGCCAGGUGGAGAAAAUGGAGCAUACAACGUGCAGGCCUUCAGGAUAUAGAUUUUGAAGCUGCUGAGGUUGCUCUGGGUAAAAGUUGGAUUGAAGGUACCAGCGAAGCUUCGGGAGAUGAUGCAGUUAAUAUCACUGAGAGUAGAUUUGAAGCCUUACAAAGAUCGAAAAAUGGCAACAACAAUGAGAUGAGCAUUCGUCUUAACCAUUUAGAGCUUGAGCUAUCUAUGACACUCUGCUCAUUGAAAUCCAAGAGUGAGGAGUUCAGUUCGAAGGAGGUUUUUGGAAGCUCCCCAAGUGAUUCUGAUGCAUGGGAGUUUCAAGAGAAUGAAUUCAUGAAUGGCCGGGAGAGAUUGAGGUUGAUUCGUGCAAAGCUGGCUGUGCUUGAGGGGAAAAUGACACUUGCAAUGAUUGAUGCGCAGAAGAUGUUAGACGAGAAGCAGAAGAGGAUUGAUAGGUCUAGUAAAGCUUUACAGCUUCUUCGUACUGCUCGGAUUGUUUGGACUAACUCCGCCUCAGAGGUUCUUCUAGCAGGUUCUUUUGAUGGAUGGACAACUCAGGUUUCAUCUUGCUUCCAAAUCAAUGAUAGGAAAUAGGAGACACCGCUUUACUGUCAAAACGUCAAGCAUAGUUUCGUCUAAUGUGAUCGUCCAGACCAACUUAAUCUUAUUUUUGUUGUUUAAGAUGAAGAUGAUGUGUUACCAAUGAUUACUGUAAGGACAUCAUCUUCUGCUUGGUUUAGUCUAGAAGUGUCACCUAUAGAGUCAACAUCUAGCUUUUCUUGUGGACAAUGUGAGAGAAGUUCACAACUAGUCAUGUUUGGCUACAGCAGGAAAGUUAAAGAUUCUUUUUUAGGGGGUACACCCAAUUAUUAUCCAGUGCAAUAUGCUUUGCUGACUCGACUCGAGCAAAUCACAUGGCUUAUUGCCUUCACAAUAAUUUAUUUCCUCUUUUAUUUUGUUUGUGGGGGAUCCAAGAAGGGUUUGCAAGAAGAGCUAUGGAUCUAAUCACAAUAGUAUCUGAUCACUUUUUAAGAAAACGAAAGAAUAUUUAGAACUUGAAUAUAAUCCCUCCGUUUCAAUCAAUGUGUCUUACUUUCUUUUUUGGUUUAUUUCAAAAUGCCACCUCUUUGUAAUUAGUAAGUUUUUUUUUUUUUUCCGAACAUUCCCAUUUCACCUUUAAUAAUAUUCCCUCAUAGGAAUAACAUGGUAUAUUUAAGACCACAAAAUUUAAGGGGUAGCUUUGAUAUCUUAUAUAGACCUUUAUUUAAGAUCACAAGUUUCAAAAGUCUUUCUUACAUUCUUAAAUUUCGUUCCACACAAAUUAUGACAUAAAUGAAACGACAGAUAGCAAAACUCAGGAUUUUCUCAACUUACUAAUCCAUAUCAGAUACAGAGCGUUAGUGACAUGGAGACUUCAUAGUCAAGGUGCACUUCUUCAAUCCUUGCUCAGAACUUUAUUAGGAUGGCGUACAAAGUGUUUUACCUUUGUUUUCCAGAAAGUCACUUGGAAAUUAGAGAAUGAUGGAUAAAUCGAGCACGGGUGUUUUCUCUCUAAGCCUAAAGCUGUAUCCAGGCAGACAUGAGAUCAAGUUUGUUGUUGAUGGCAUAUGGAAGAUUGAUCCUUUGAGGCCUAUUGUUCACAAUGAUGGACACGAAAACAAU